rnacentral:misc_RNA from 1 species
AAGUCGUAACAAGUAACACGUAUCCAACGUUAAAACCCCCCCGUGAACCUUCAGUGUGCUCGUACGCUUUGUUAGAAAGUAGCAAUCCCUGGUAAAUCAUCGCCGAACAGUUUUGAUUCAGGGACUUCUGCGAAGAGUGCGCGAGAGAGGCCGACACGGAUGGCGACCGGGUUAUCGGGCUCACGCCCCUUAAUAACGCUUAAUUGUGCGGCCAUAAACAGAACAACUGUUAACAAUGGAUAUCUUGGUUCUC